rnacentral:rRNA from 1 species
CCUACGGGAGGCAGCAGUGAGGAAUAUUUUUCAAUUUACUCUCUCCUUCCCCCUCCCCUUCUCUUUCCUUAUUACUUCCCUCUUUCUUUUAAACCUCUUUUGUCGGGGAGCAAAAGACGCCACGCGUGGCGUUCCGCGUGUACUUGAAGAAAAAGCAUCGGCUAACUCCGUGCCAGCAGCCGCGGUAAUACGGAGGAUGCGAGCGUUAUCCGGAUUUAUUGGGUUUAAAGGGUGCGCAGGGGGAAGAUAAAGUCAGCGGUAAAAUUGUGAGGCUCAACCUCAUCGUGCCGUUGAAACUGGUAUUCUUGAGUAAGCGAGAGGUAUGCGGAAUGCGUGGUGUAGCGGUGAAAUGCAUAGAUAUCACGCAGAACUCCGAUUGCGAAGGCAGCAUACCGACGCUCAACUGACGCUGAUGCACGAAAGUGUGGGUAUCGAACAGGAUUAGAUACCCGGGUAGUC